ACAAUGGACAAACUCUGGCGCAAGA
rnacentral:piRNA from 1 species